rnacentral:misc_RNA from 1 species
GAUAUCGUGACUUGCCCUUCUGUUGAAUCAGAAGAGGUACAAUGUAUUGAAAACAAUAUUAAGGAAACACCUGUUCGUCCGUUGAAACGAUCGUUGUUUGACCAUCUUGAAAGUAAUUCAGAAGGAGAUGAAAACAAUAAGAGAUGGUCUCAGUGGAAGCCUGCAUCUUUAAAAUCAAAAAAGCACCCAGCUUUGUGUAUACCAAAACCUAAAAAACCCUUUGAGAGAGUAGCAGAAUCUAAAUUAGAAAUUAUUGAACUACAGAAGACAAUUCUUGAAGAGGAAUUGAUAAAUAAUAGAAAGAAAUUUAGCUUUGAAGAAAAAGAAAUGGAGCAACGACAGAAAGAAUGGGAGGAACAAAAAAAGAGGUGGAACUUUGAAGAAGAAGAAAGGCAACACAAGAGGGAAUUAUGGGCCUUGGA